UACGUAGGAGGCAAGCGUUAUCCGGAUUUACUGGGCGUAAAGAGGGCGUAGGCGGCUUUUCAAGUCGGAUGUUAAAUCUCCCGGCUCAACUGGGAGGGAUCAUCCGAUACUGUUGAGCUGGAGUGCAGCAGAGGGAGGUGGAAUUCCCGGUGUAGUGGUGAAAUGCAUAGAUAUCGGGAGGAACACCAGUGGCGAAGGCGGCCUCCUGGGCUGUUACUGACGCUGAGGCCCGAAAGCGUGGGGAGCGAACAGGAUUAGAUACCCUCGUA
rnacentral:rRNA from 1 species